rnacentral:snoRNA from 1 species
ACAGUACUGACAAAUUGAUGGGCUUGAUCAAAGCAACACCCAAUCAGUUUUUAUUUAAAACGCUGUAAGAUAAAUGAAAGCGUCGGCUUACGCUAUGUUAUGCGAAUGUAAGAUUUAUUUGCCAAUUCAGUGUAACACGCAGCCUCGUUACAUU